ACUGAAUCAUUACCCAAUUCA
rnacentral:snRNA from 1 species